UACGGAGGGAGCUAGCGUUGUUCGGAAUUACUGGGCGUAAAGCGCGCGUAGGCGGCUUUGUAAGUUAGAGGUGAAAGCCCGGAGCUCAACUCCGGAACUGCCUUUAAGACUGCAUCGCUUGAAUCCAGGAGAGGUGAGUGGAAUUCCGAGUGUAGAGGUGAAAUUCGUAGAUAUUCGGAAGAACACCAGUGGCGAAGGCGGCUCACUGGACUGGUAUUGACGCUGAGGUGGCGAAAAGCGUGGGGAGCAAACAGG
rnacentral:rRNA from 1 species